rnacentral:rRNA from 1 species
AUUGAACGCUGGCGGCAGGCCUAACACAUGCAGGUCGAGCGGAUGAAGGGAGCUUGCUCCUGGAUUCAGCGGCGGACGGGUGAGUAAUGCCUAGGAAUCUGCCUGGUAGUUGGGGAUAACGUCCGGAAACGGGCGCUAAUACCGCAUACGUCCUGAUGUAGAAAGUGGGGGAUCUUCGGACCUCACGCUAUCAGAUGAGCCUAGGUCGGAUUAGCUAGUUGGUGGGGUAAAGGCCUACCAAGGCGACGAUCCGUAACUGGUCUGAGAGGAUGAUCAGUCACACUGGAACUGAGACACGGUCCAGACUCCUACGGGAGGCAGCAGUGGGGAAUAUUGGACAAUGGGCGAAAGCCUGAUCCAGCAAUGCCGCGUGUGUGAAGAAGGUCUUCGGAUUGUAAAGCACUUUAAGUUGGGAGGAAGGGCAGUAAGUUAAUACAUUGCUGUUUUGACGUUACCAACAGAAUAAGCACCGGCUAACUUCGUG